UGAGUAACACGUGGAUAACCUACCUAUAAGACUGGGAUAACUUCGGGAAACCGGAGCUAAUACCGGAUAAUAUAUUGAACCGCAUGGUUCAAUAGUGAAAGGCGGUUUUGCUGUCACUUAUAGAUGGAUCCGCGCUGCAUUAGCUAGUUGGUAAGGUAACGGCUUACCAAGGCAACGAUGCGUAGCCGGCCUGAGAGGGUGAUCGGCCACACUGGAACUGAGACACGGUCCAGACUCCUACGGGAGGCAGCAGCC
rnacentral:rRNA from 1 species